rnacentral:RNase_P_RNA from 1 species
GUACUUGCGUAAUCGCUGUAUAUGUCACAUAUACAGAGGAAAGUCCAUGCUCACACAGGCUGAGAUGCUUGUAGUGUUCGUGCUUGACGAAAUCAUAAGUCAAGGUAGCCUUGAUGGCUAACGGCAGUGGAAAAUCCUAACUCGUAAGACAAGGAUGAGUACACUUGAAAGUGCCACAGUGACGCAGUCGGCCUGGAAACAGUCCGAAUGGAACGCGGUAAACCCCACGAGUGAGCAACCCAAAUAUUGGUAGGGGCACCUUUGAAUAGGGAAGUGAACCGAAAAAGGGACAAGUAUUCUCACAAAUACUUGUAGAUAGAUGGUUACGACCGAUGUACAAGGCUGACCACCGUCGAAGUACAACGGAACAGAACAUGGCUUAUCAAG